rnacentral:rRNA from 1 species
UACAGAGGGUGCGAGCGUUAAUCGGAAUUACUGGGCGUAAAGCGUGCGUAGACGGCUAUCUAAGUCGGGUGUGAAAGCCCCGGGCUCAACCUGGGAAUUGCAUUUGAGACUGAAUAGCUAGGGUGCGGAAGAGGGAAGCGGAAUUUCCGGUGUAGCGGUGAAAUGCGUAGAUAUCGGAAGGAACACCAGUGGCGAAAGCGGCUUCCUGGUCCAGCACCGACGUUCAGGCACGAAAGCGUGGGAGCAAACAGG